AGCCGGCCUGAGAGGGUGACCGGCCACACUGGGACUGAGACACGGCCCAGACUCCUACGGGAGGCAGCAGUGGGGAAUAUUGCACAAUGGGCGCAAGCCUGAUGCAGCGACGCCGCGUGAGGGAUGACGGCCUUCGGGUUGUAAACCUCUUUCAGUAGGGAAGAAGCGAAAGUGACGGUACCUGCAGAAGAAGCGCCGGCUAACUACGUGCCAGCAGCCGCGGUAAUACGUAGGGCGCGAGCGUUAUCCGGAAUUAUUGGGCGUAAAGAGCUCGUAGGCGGUUUGUCGCGUCUGCCGUGAAAGUCCGGGGCUUAACCCCGGAUCUGCGGUGGGUACGGGCAGACUAGAGUGCAGUAGGGGAGACUGGAAUUCCU
rnacentral:rRNA from 1 species